ACUAAAUAAAACGUGGGAUGUCCCCGUAAUGGGGGAACCACGAG
rnacentral:ncRNA from 1 species